GAUGAACGCUGGCGGCGUGCCUAAUACAUGCAAGUCGAACGCUUCACAUAUGUGAAGAGUGGCGAACGGGUGAGUAAUACAUAAGUAACCUGGCCUUUACAGGGGGAUAACUAUUGGAAACGAUAGCUAAGACCGCAUAGGUGUGAUAACCGCAUGGAGAUGACAUGAAAUAUGCUACGGCAUAGGUAGAGGAUGGACUUAUGGCGCAUUAGCUAGUUGGAGGGGUAACGGCCCACCAAGGCGACGAUGCGUAGCCGACCUGAGAGGGUGACCGGCCACACUGGGACUGAGACACGGCCCAGACUCCUACGGGAGGCAGCAGUAGGGAAUUUUCGGCAAUGGGGGAAACCCUGACCGAGCAACGCCGCGUGAAGGAAGAAGUAAUUCGUUAUGUAAACUUCUGUCAUAGAGGAAGAACGGUGCGUGUAGGGAAUGACAUGCAAGUGACGGUACUCUAUAAGAAAGCCACGGCUA
rnacentral:rRNA from 1 species